AGCAUUUCAAGAGGAAAUUUAAAUAAUUUAAUUAUAUUCUCUUUAAUAAUAAGGGAAAUGCAAUUGAAGACCACGCAGAUCACUGGAGUUCCCACUGUGGCACAGUGAGUUAAAGAUCUGGCUUGUCCCUGGAGUUUCCGUCAUGGUUCAGUGGUUAAUGAACCUGACUAGUAUCCAUGAGAUUGUGGGUUCAAUCCCUGGCCUCACUCGUGGGUUAAGGAUCCAGUGUUGCUGUGAGCUGUGGUGUAGCCUAGUAGCUACAGCUCUGAUUCAACCCCUAGUCUGGGAACCUUCAUAUGCUGCAGAGGUGACCCUAAAAAGACUGAAAAAAAAAAAAAGAGAGAGAGAAUCUGGGUUGUCUCUGGGCAACAGAUCCCUGGUCCCAUACAAGUGGGUUAAGGAUCUGGUGUUGUUGCAGUUGUGACAUCGGUUGCAGCUGCAGCUUGGAUUGGAUCCCUGGUUCAGGAACUCCUAUAUUCCACAGGAUAUAGCCAGGGCUGGUGUGGGGAAGACCAUGACAUACACUCAUUUGCUUGAGGAAACUUAAAAGGUCUAAUAAUACCAAGUGUCUCUCUUUUGUAUAUUUCUGACAGUAUUAUUCAUAGUUCCACUUUGGAAAAUAAUCUGACAUUGAUUUAUAGAGCUAAAUAUUCUCAUACCUUAUGACCCAGAAAUUCUACUCCCAGGUAUAUACUUUUAGGGAAAAUUUGUCUAUAUGAUCCAAGAAUAAUACCAAAAUAUUCAUAAUAACACACUUCAAAUCUAAAAACAAAGUGCCCACAUGCCCCAUCAGUGGAGGAAUGGAUAAGUUGUAGUAUUUUAUAUAGUGGAAUACAAUACAGCAAUGAAAAUGAAUAAACAUUAGCUACAUCUGUUAAGACUUGACCAGCCAUUGCUGGCUUUUAAGAUACAAGGGGAUGAUGAGCCAAGGAAUGUGGGCAGCCUCUAGAAGCUGGAAAAGGAAACAAAUUCUUCUUUAGAGCCUCCUGAAAGGAAUGCUGCCCCGACAACUUGCUUUUAGCCCAGACUCAUUUUGGCCUUCUGACCUCCAGGACUAUAAGGUAUAGUCUAUGUUGUUUAAAGCCACUAAGUUUGUGGUAAUUUGUUACAGCAGCAACAGGAAACUAACACAGAGUGGAUGGGCAGGGUUGGAGGGGGUGCAUUGAAUAGAGGACAUUCCCAGGGACAGAGGAAGUUAAGGAAGGAGGAAAGGAGGGAGAGAGGAAACCUUUGCUCUGUUCAGGUCUGGAGCCAGCUUCUUCUGCAGGGUCCCCUUCAGUUCUCCCCAGCAAUACCUGAAUACCCACAGGGCCCUGACAAUCUGCAAGGCCCUGAAGCACUUGUUCCCAAAGUCUGCUGCCAGGUGGACAGGCCCCAGGCAAUUGCUUCUCAAUGAAAAAGAGGAAACCAAAGUCUGAAACGGGGGAGUUCCCAUCGUGGCUCAGAGGAAACGUAUCUGACCAGUAUCCAUGAGGAUGUAGUUUCAAUCCCUGGCCUUGCUUGGUGGAUUAAGGAUCUGUCAUUGCUGUGAGCUGUGGUAUAGGUCACAGACGUGGCUGGGAUCCUGUGGCAUAGGCCAGUGGCUACAGCUCUGAUUCAACCCCUAGCCUGGGACCUAUAUAUGCCCAGGUGUGGCCCUAAAAAUACAAAAAUAAAGUCUGGAACAGGGAGGUAGAGGCAGAAGCAGCCCCCCUUCUGAGGACAGGAAAUGGCCUGAUGCCACGCCUAAGAACUCACACUUCCUGGGAGGACAACCUGUUCUUUCCACAGACUCGCCACAGCUGAACAGACCCUGGCAGGCUCCCAUCCACAUCUGUGCUGAGAAUGUGGCUCCACAAUUGCUGAGUGUCAUCAUAAUUGCCACCUUCCACACCCCUCCUGGUCCCUCCUCCCUGGAGACUGGACCACAAUCCAGGCCCUGCCAGACCCUGGAAGCAGAACACUUGGGUUCCAUGGUUUCCAGGGAGUGGUGUCACAACAGGGCAGGGAGGUCCUGAGGUGGGGUGGGCAUGAGGAGGACCUGCAUUCUACUCUUGGGGCAAACUGGCCACAGGCUUUAGGGACAGAAUGGGGCAAGGCAGGCUGGGAAAAUCUCCACAUGAGCCAGCCCCAUGCCUCCAUGCAGACUGUUCCCAACUGGUGGAGUACCCACCUCCUCAUCAGGGACCCACCUCCACUGAGGGGAAUUCUCCCAUCCUUCUAGACAUAACUUUCCCAUCCCCAGCCCCCAUGCCAAAGCGGGGGGUGGUGAUGAGAGGAGAGUGGAGGAAGAACAGGCUCUCUGCUCAGCUGUUCCCACAUCUCCUUCCAGGGGAAGAGGGAGUAUAGGCUAAAGAUUUGGUGGUGGAAAGUCUGGGGAGAUGGCUUCUCAUUUUUCUGCUGUUAGGAAGGAGAAAGAAGGGAUAUAUGCAGGGUGGAGGUUAGAAGUAGGCACUGGUGAGGAGUUCCCUUGUGGUGCAGCAGGUUAAGGAUCCAACAAUGUCACUGCAACAGUUUGGGUCACUGCUGUGGUAUGGUUUUGAUCCCUGGCCCAGGAACUUCCACGUGCUGCAGGAGAGACUGAAAAAAAAAAGAAGAAGAAAAAGCCACUGGUGAGAGAUGGAAAACAAGCUGACUUGAAAAGCAGGUAGGACUAUGAGGUGCUGUUAAAGACCUAGAUGAGGAGUUCC
rnacentral:lncRNA from 1 species